rnacentral:lncRNA from 1 species
CACAGUGGGGAGCUCUGAGUGCAGGUGGGCAGACAAUGGGCCAACACACCCCCUCAGCCCGGCUUCAGUAUCAGCAUUCCAGGCCCACCCACCUGGGCCCUUGGUCACCGGGAGACCUCACGCGUACACACAGGCUCUAACCUGCCCUGAGCCCAGAUCCGGCGUUUCCCAAGCAGCUCUCUCAGCCUGCUGUGAACAAAGGCGAUUGUUCUCCCAGGAAUGGAGGGAGAUGUCUCUCCGUCUUUUCUCUCCUUCUCUUCCCAUUCCUCCCAUCUCUGUUCCCGUCUUGAAACCUUGAGAGAGAAGGUCCGAUGGCCAUUCACAGAGAAAGAAGUGUUGAACUGAAAGGGGAUGGGGGAGGCCACGUGGCAAGAGAGCAGCAGCCAAGCCAUUUCCAGCUAAUUAACACAUGGAUAUUGAUCAUAUUUCCUCUGCGAAGCUGCUGCAGAUAAGGUGGUCCAUCCCCCUUGGUCACCACAUCAUCAAUAAGCAGACAGCCCCUUUCUAGAAAAGUCCAUAAUCCAAACAUGCUUUGGGUAGGUGAUUGAUAGAAAGCUACCAUUUUAAAAAGAUUCCAAGUCUAAACAGAAUGUGUCUGGUUACUGGCAAAAUUAAAUUACCCUCUGUUGGAG